rnacentral:ribozyme from 1 species
AGUCCAGCAGCAGGACGGCUUUGUGUACGGCCUCAUCAACAACGCGGGUGUGGUGUCAGGAAAACUAUUUGUCGAAAUAGAAGACGAAGCCAUUGA